rnacentral:miRNA from 14 species
AUGUAUGUAUGUGUGUAUGUAUGUAUGUAUGUAUGUAUGUAUGUAUGUCACAUGUGUGCCUG